CUACGGGGUGUGCAGUAAGGAAUAUUGCGCAAUGGAGGCAACUCUGACGCAGCCAUGCCGCGUGCAGGAAGAAGGCCUUAUGGGUCGUAAACUGCUUUUAUUUAGGAAUAAACCCCCGAACGUGUUCGGGGCUGAAGGUACUAAACGAAUAAGCACCGGCUAACUCCGUGCCAGCAGCCGCGGUAAUACGGAGGGUGCAAGCGUUAUCCGGAUUUAUUGGGUUUAAAGGGUGCGCAGGCGGGCUAUUAAGUCAGUGGUGAAAUCCCGGGGCUCAACUCCGGAACUGCCAUUGAUACUGAUAGUCUUGAGUUUGGUUGAAGUGGGCGGAAUGUAGCAUGUAGCGGUGAAAUGCAUAGAUAUGCUACAGAACACCAAUCGCGAAGGCAGCUCACUAAGCCAAAACUGACGCUCAUGCACGAAAGCGUGGGGAUCAAACAGGAUUAGAUACCCGCGUAGUC
rnacentral:rRNA from 1 species